UCGUAUUAACGUCAGCAUGACUGCAGAAUUCUCUACUCUAGUAGUGUAAACGUCGCCCUUAUUUGACGACCACAUCUGUAAGGCCAAAAGUACGAAAGAAACCACCAUCCGUUACUCAUUUGCCUCUUGGAGGUCGAGCGGAAGUUGAACGGACGCAUCGUUAGGAGUGGCAAAUCAGAGCAUUCGGUCGGAGUGAAGUCGGUAGAACGUCAAAGCUUCAAUUCGCAUAAAACGAUGGUAAGAGAAAAGAGGGGUCUAAUUCGGUAGAGCUCUUGCAAGCUGACGCUGCCGCCAUUGCUGCAACCGUUGCUACUGUUUGUGCUGCUAGCUGAGUUCAUUAGCGCACCAAGAAAACGAACCGAUUCAGCUUGAUUACAUUUAAUGGGGCCAACCCGCAGAUGAGAGCGAAGAAGCGGCUAGAAUAAAAAAUAGGUGUCUGCCACACGAAGAAGCACUUGCAGUAUGGUAUGGUCUCGCGCUCCUCUAUUUCAGCAGCAAAAAGGGGCAUCCAGAUACGGCGGCCGCGGUGUUACCAGUAGCUGCAGAGGCUGACAGGGAACAAAUACGAGUGUUGCUCUUCGACGCUGGGUGCAAAAAAUACGCGCAUAGGACUACGGCGUGAUCUGUGGAGCUAAUGCGCGUCUCUGAAUGCGUUAUUAUGGGUGCCUGAACAAGUCAGGUGACGCCUUUCAAAGCAGAUCCUUUUUCACAAUGGACGCACGUCACUCGUCGGAGAAGUUAAAUCUUUUAUCGAUUGGCUAUUCCCUACCUAUUCAUAUGUGUCAAAAAGGACAGAUGAUGGCUUCAAACUGCAAGUAAACCCGUAUGCGUUGUCUUCGAAGAUUAUUGGAACCAUGCUGUUGAUGGAUUGAGUGUCAAAAUUCAAAGGAAGACCUGUUUAUGUAUGAAACUUCAAAACCGAUAACAUGUAAACUAACCUGGAAUCACACAACUUAGCAUUUUAGUUAAGAAGUAUAGGUUCUAAAAAUUGUUAUUUCUAGUUCUCGGGUUCCCAUUUUGG